AACGCGAAGAACCUUACCUGGGCUUGAACCGCACAGGACCAGCUUCAGAAAUGAGGCCUUCCCGCAAGGGACCUGUGUAGAGGUGCUGCAUGGCUGUCGUCAGCUCGUGCCGUGAGGUGUUGGGUUAAGUCCCGCAACGAGCGCAACCCUUACUCAUAGUUGCUACCCGCAAGGGAGAACUCUAUGAGGACUGCUCCGGAUAACGGAGAGGAAGGUGGGGAUGAGGUCAAGUCAUCACGGCCCUUACGUCCAGGGCGACACACGUGCUACAAUGCCCGGUACAGCGCGUCGCCAACUCGCGAGAGGGAGCCAAUCGCUAAAAGCCGGGCUAAGUUCGGAUUGCAGUCUGCAACUCGACUGCAUGAAGCCGGAAUCGCUAGUAAUCGCGGAUCAGCCACGCCGCGGUGAAUACGUUCCCGGGCCUUGUACACACCGGAGUA
rnacentral:rRNA from 1 species